rnacentral:rRNA from 1 species
AUUGAACGCUGGCGGCAGGCCUAACACAUGCAAGUCGAGCGGAUGAAGGGAGCUUGCUCCUGGAUUCAGCGGCGGACGGGUGAGUAAUGCCUAGGAAUCUGCCUGGUAGUGGGGGAUAACGUCCGGAAACGGGCGCUAAUACCGCAUACGUCCUGAGGGAGAAAGUGGGGGAUCUUCGGACCUCACGCUAUCAGAUGAGCCUAGGUCGGAUUAGCUAGUUGGUGGGGUAAAGGCUUACCAAGGCGACGAUCCGUAACUGGUCUGAGAGGAUGAUCAGUCACACUGGAACUGAGACACGGUCCAGACUCCUACGGGAGGCAGCAGUGGGGAAUAUUGGACAAAGGGCGAAAGCCUGAUCCAGCCAUGCCGCGUGUGUGAAGAAGGUCUUCGGAUUGUAAAGCACUUUAAGUUGGGAGGAAGGGCAGUAAGUUAAUACCUUGCUGUUUUGACGUUACCAACAGAAUAAGCACCGGCUAACUUCGUG